AAUAUUUCACAAUGGAGGGAACUCUGAUGCAGCAACGCCGCGUGAGUGAAGAAGGUUUNCGGAUCNUNAAACUCUGUCAUUGGGGNCGAAUAAAUGACGGUACCCAAUGAGGAAGCCCCGGCUAACUACGUGCCAGCAGCCGCGGUAAUACGUAGGGGGCGAGCGUUGUCCGGAAUUACUGGGCGUAAAGGGUGCGUAGGCGGCCCUUUAAGUCAGAUGUGAAAGCCCACGGCUUAACCGUGGGACUGCAUUUGAAACUGGAGGGCUUGAGUGUCGGAGAGGGCAGUGGAAUUCCCAGUGUAGCGGUGGAAUGCGUAGAUAUUGGGAGGAACACCAGUGGCGAAGGCGACUGCCUGGACGAUAACUGACGCUGAGGCACGAAAGCUAGGGGAGCAAACA
rnacentral:rRNA from 1 species